GAGGGAGAACAAAGACUUGGAGAUGAUCCAGAUCCUCCUCCCAUCAGGAGAAGAUGGAGUAGAGAGGAGCCUCCAUUCAUGGGAGGAGAGAGUCCUGGUCCAGCCCCCCCAGUGUCUCCUGCUGUGUCUGAGCUGAGGCUGGUGCUGCUGGGGGGGAGUGCAGCUGGGAAGAGGGCAGCAGGAAACACCAUCCUGGGCACACACACACUCACACACACAUCCACAGAGGCCCAGCACAGUGAGAGCAGACAGGGGGAGGUGGCCGGGAGA